rnacentral:rRNA from 1 species
CAGCAGCCACGGUAAUACGUAGGUGGCAAGCGUUGUCCGGAAUUAUUGGGCGUAAAGGGCUCGCAGGCGGUUUCUUAAGUCUGAUGUGAAAGCCCCCGGCUCAACCGGGGAGGGUCAUUGGAAACUGGGAAACUUGAGUGCAGAAGAGGAGAGUGGAAUUCCACGUGUAGCGGUGAAAUGCGUAGAGAUGUGGAGGAACACCAGCGGCGAAGGCGACUCUCUGGUCUGUAACUGACGCUGAGGAGCGAAAGCGUGGGGAGCGAACAGGAUUAGAUACCCGAGUAGUCCCUGUCUCUUAUAA